rnacentral:rRNA from 1 species
AACGAACGCUGGCGGCAUGCCUAACACAUGCAAGUCGAACGAGACCUUCGGGUCUAGUGGCGCACGGGUGCGUAACGCGUGGGAACCUGCCCUUAGGUUCGGAAUAACUCCCCGAAAGGGGUGCUAAUACCGGAUAAUGUCUUCGGACCAAAGAUUUAUCGCCCUUGGAUGGGCCCGCGUUGGAUUAGCUAGUUGGUAGGGUAAAAGCCUACCAAGGCGACGAUCCAUAGCUGGUCUGAGAGGAAGAUCAGCCACACUGGGACUGAGACACGGCCCAGACUCCUACGGGAGGCAGCAGUGGGGAAUAUUGGACAAUGGGCGAAAGCCUGAUCCAGCAAUGCCGCGUGAGUGAUGAAGGCCUUAGGGUUGUAAAGCUCUUUUACCCGGGAUGAUAAUGACAGUACCGGGAGAAUAAGCUCCGGCUAACUCCGUG